rnacentral:pre_miRNA from 1 species
AGAGGGAUAACUGGGUCAAAUGGUGGUGCCAUUCCCAGAUUUCCAAGGAAUCUCCAUACUGCUUUCCAUAUUGGCUGCACCAAUUUGCAGUCCCAAAAGCAAU